CCAGUACAAAGAUAGAAUAUCCUGUUAUAAACCCUGAACCUCAACAUUCAACCAGCGUGUACAUGUGACGUUUGAACGUGGCCAUAACCACAAGGGGUUUUGUCUGAAACUAGAAUAACCAUAGAGCAUAUUGUGCAUUGAUAAUAUCACCUAGAAGGCAGUUUUAGCAUUUUAUGAAUUUGGUUAAAGGACAUGCUAAGAAAGUGGAAAUCAUUUAGCCGGGUCAGAAUAAGCUCCUUUAACAUGUCCAUUCACGGAAAGCAAAGUUAUUUACAUUGACAUUUCAUAAUCAUUUUUGAUAAAGCUUUGAAAGCAGAUAUAUACCUACCAGGAUAAUUUGUCAUUCAACAGUUAAAUUAUGAAUUAAUUUUUAGUAAAGAAACGCCAUUCAUUGCGGCUAUUUGUAUGAGGUCUUACUAAGUGGACUUAGCAGAUAUUUCUUAUCUACACUGCAGAAUACCCCAACACGUUCUGAUUGGCCAAUCCUGGGGAAGGCUUGGACCAGAUCGAGAUAGCUUUCACUACCGCAAGCAGUCAACAUUUGAGCAAUGAGGUUUAUGGAAACUGGGUCAAAUGGGAUUUUAUUGAUGUUGCACGAGUUGUAUCUGAAUCAAAAUAGUCAGCACAGCAUUUGACAACACAUCCAGCAACAUGCCAAUAUCAAUGAGGAAAGACGUCAGCUGUCACAAAAAGAGCUUUGUUGCUAUGGUCUAUUUCUCGAAAAAGGCAUACGUGUCCAAACAGACAUGAAAGUUGGGUGGAUAGAGGGCUGCAAACAAAAGCUAUCCUACAGUGAAACUGAACCAAUAGUGAUUGAAUGAGAAUACACGGUUAUGUUUCCGUCAAUACAAUGGUGCCAUUUUGUUUAAGGGAAUUGUUUUCUGGGGGGGUAUGGGGGGACAUUUUCUAAUAGACACAUGUCUUCAGUCAAAAUUCUAAAAAGUAUAUUUUUUACACUUAGUACAAAAAAAGACAUCUCUACCCGUUAGUGCUUUGUUUUUUUCUUAAGAUACUAUAACAUAAAUAAACAAUUUAUUUUCAGUGUUCAAACAGACAGUUGCAGUGUGACUGGAAAGCUAACAUACUCCUCCAUGUUCCAGUUGCCAACAGAGGCCCCUUAACAAAGAGAAAUCUGCACUCAUCUUUUGGCGUGCCUUACGGCAGCAUACUUUGCAGAGUGUUGUUCUUCAUCUCUCCACCACCACCCUCCAACAGCAGGCCCCGUCAGUCUCGGAGCCUCUACAAUAUUCACUUGUGUUCACCCUUAGUCGAAAAAUAAGUCAAAAACUCGGAACAGUUUUCAAUAAUAAUAAAAAUAAAAACGACUUCAGGGCAUGUCUCUUGGUUGCACCCCUCCACAGUUGCAGUUCAAUUUUUAACCACCACUCAGGUCGCUGUCCUUUUUCAUAAAAAAAAAUCUAUGCAAGACUCUCUCUCUCUCGCUCUCUCUCUCUCUCUCUCUCAUAAAAGUUCAAUUCUCAGAGUGCAAAGCACAGUCUCCGUCAAAGGUGUCACUCACUUCCUGUAGUUCCAACUUCACCAUGGAUACGGCAGUAUGCAAGCACACGCUCCUGUGUCAGUGAAGUUCAGGGGGGAAAAUCAACUACCGAUAGUUAGCCGUCACUUUCCUAAAAUGUCAAGAUUCUGCUGUGCAAAACGAUGCGAAUGAAGAGCUGAUAAUAGUCCAUUCAUCUCAAAAACUGCCGCCUUUUAAACAGCGCCUGCUAGGCUCCUCCUCUUCCUGCUUGCCCCAUGCCCCCCCCACC
ensembl:lncRNA